AGUAUUAGUGCCUCCACACUACCCUGAAUGCACCUGAUCUUGUCUGGUGUUAGAAGCUAAGCAGAGUUGGACGUGCCUAGUAAUUCAGUGGGAGACCACAAGGUAGUACCAAGUAUUGAUGUUU
rnacentral:rRNA from 1 species